AGAGGAAAAGAGAAACAGGCUUGGGCCAGAGCGCUGUUCCGCGCGUAGCCGCCAGGGGCCGCUGCAGCCCGCAUAGCGUCAGGGCUACCAAAGCGUCGCCCUAGUAACCGUCUGCUGGGGCGGGGGGCGUCGUGGCCUCGCUGAGGGAUUCUGGAAAUCCGUGCUGGGCUGCAGAGAGGAAAAAACCUGCGCUUGCUGGAGUGCGGACAUGGGGAUGGCGUGAAGGCCACCGCCUGCCUGCUCCGGAGAGGUGCAGGGACGGCGGGCGGCUUGGCUGGGAGCCUGGGAGCUGCAGGACGGAUGAGAGCCUGCGGGCGAGGCUCAAGAAGAGGAACUCCUGGUCUGAGGUUGCACCUCUGGGGGUGGCACACAGGGCCUGACCCGCCACCCUGCCCCUGUGCCCACUCGCCCAGCGGGACGCAGCCUGGCCAACCAGACGUGCUGCCGGUUGGGCGGCUGACCCCGGGGCCCCUGGAGCAGGAAUCGCUUGGUGGCCGAGAGGCCAAAGGUUACACGAGGGUUUCCUGCCACCCUGGGAACUUCCUCCUUCCUGGCCGGCACGGUGGCGGCGACACCCUAGGCCCC